UACGGAGGGUGCGAGCGUUAAUCGGAAUUACUGGGCGUAAAGCGCACGUAGGCGGUCAGGCAAGUCGGGUGUGAAAGCCCUGGGCUCAACCUGGGAAUUGCAGUGGAUACUGGCGAGCUAGAGUGCGGUAGAGGAUGGUGGAAUUCCCGGUGUAGCGGUGAAAUGCGUAGAGAUCGGGAGGAACACCCGUGGCGAAGGCGGCCAUCUGGACCAGCACUGACGCUGAGGCACGAAAGCGUGGGGAGCAAACAGG
rnacentral:rRNA from 1 species